rnacentral:rRNA from 1 species
GUAAACCCAAGGUUUCCAGGGGAAGGUUCGUCCGCCCUGGGUUAGUCGGGACCUAAGCUGAGGCCGAAAGGCGUAGGUGAUGGACAACAGGUUGAUAUUCCUGUACUACCGAUAACCGUUUGAGAGAAGGGAUGACACAGUAGGAUAAGCUAAGCACACUGUUGGUUAUGUGUGCCCAAGCAUUGAGGCAGUCAAAGUAGGCAAAUCCGCUUUGAUAAUGCUGGGAUGUGAUGGGGAGCGAAAUUUAGUAGCGAAGUAGCUGAUUUCACACUGUCAAGAAAAGUCUCUAUCGAGGUUAAAGGUACCCGUACCGCAAACCGACACAGGUG